GGCAACUUGGCCGAGCGGUCUAAGGCGCCAGACUCAAGUUCCACCUUGGUAACUUCCCCAGAGCGGGGCGUAUUCUGGUCUCGAAAGAGGCGUGAGUUCGAAUCUCACAGUUGUCA
rnacentral:tRNA from 1 species